rnacentral:rRNA from 1 species
UACGUAGGCAGCAAGCGUUGUUCGGAAUUACUGGGCGUAAAGAGUGUGUAGGCGGUGCUCUAAGUCUGUUGUGAAAUCUCCCGGCUUAACUGGGAGGGUGCGGCGGAAACUAGAGUGCUAGAGGGUGGGAGAGGUAAGCGGAAUUCCUGGUGUAGCGGUGAAAUGCGUAGAUAUCAGGAGGAACACCUGUGGUGUAGACAGCUUACUGGACCACUUCUGACGCUGAGACACGAAAGCGUGGGUAGCAAACAGG